UGCUGUGAUGCUGUAAUUUGCGUCUAACGCUGCGCACAGUAACAGUUGCCUUCUGUUAUUACACUGGUGCAGAUAUAUGACGAUCAUUUGGAUCUGAGCA